UUAUUUUUAUCCUUAUAUCUUGUCGGCUGCUGCUCUUAACUUUGACCUAAUAGCACCAUAACCUGAAAAGUUAAAUUUUUUACCCUGACAGUAUUUAGUAGUCUGUAGAGAAAGAGAGACGGUGGGUGAAUUUAAAACUGCCUAAACUGAGGGCAACAUGAACUGGGUCGGAGGAUCUAGCAAAGGAUGAAAAGACAGUCAAAUAAUAUGGACUCAUCCAAAGAACACAACCCAAUAUGGAUCUUCUGACAUUAUUCAUAGUCAACCAGAUUGCAUCAAAGAAAUAGCAAACAGACAAACCAAAAACAAACCGUUUGACUGGUGUGAAAAGAACAAUAAAAGCUUUGAAAGAACCCUUAGAGUUACCAAUGAGCCCUAGUGCUUCAAACCUGAACCUAUAGUUACCAGUCAGCCACAGUACAGUAUUGAAACGCCUGGUUAUAAAGUCAGAAAACAUCAUCUUUCUGAAGAAUUCAAGUUCAAGCCGUGGCUCAGAAAAUCAACCGCAACCAUCCUCAACGUCUGCUGGGUCCUCAGAUCCAAUCCGACCCAAACCCUCACCACACAUACCCUCUUCCCUGCCAACUCUGGGAAAUCCUAACAAUAUGAAGAAUACUCCUCAGGUUUAUUUCUUUAAAAUCAAUAACUUCUGCAACACACCUAAGUAACCCAAAUUGGCACAGUAUAUGUCUCUUUUCAGUUUGUGUCAUUAUCUCAACCAGCAAAGCAAUUGGUGUCACAGAAUAGCUCAGUGGCUAGAAAUCAGUUUGAGAGCACAGUACCAAACCCAGAGAAGAGAGAGCAUUCAGAGACCUCCGUUUUAUGUCCACUCAACCCUUUAAAAAACUAUGAACAACCGGAGGAGCCACUGUCCAUAGAUUUCAAGGACUUGGAUAAUAAAGUGCUCGCAUCAAUGAACAAAACAUGGACAGUGUUGGCCACCGCUCAACACAGACAGAAACACAGAGGCGUGAUGGGAAUCUCCCAAUAACCUUGGAAACGGGGACACAAACAGGAGCUUUAUCUUACCAAGAUGUCUCAGUUCGGUGCUCACUUAUUCAUCACAGCAACCCUGUACCUUUCCCCACUGCUGAUCAGAAAACCCACGUCUUUACCACAAGAACCGAAAACAGAGCAGUGGUGGGAAAGCAGGGUGAAAAUAGAAAAGUGUGACUACCCUCGGCUGGGAAGUGUGACGCGAAACCCUGUCAAGGACGUCAGGCGCGCAGGAGAUAAAGAAAUGAAGAGAUGAAGAACUUCACAGCAGAGAAAGGUGCGAACUGGGUCUCUACAGAGACUAAAAAAAAAAAAAAAAAACCUCAAGAAGUUGCUAACGUUGAAGCAGAGAAAGGAUUAGACCGUUAGCAGAAUUAAAUUUAGAAAAAUGGAUUGUUAGCUCAGUUCAGAUUUGAUGAAUGUGGGAUUGUAUACAGUAUGUUAUAUAUCUUUAUUAUUACCUCCAAGUACAUAUUCAAGUUUUCAAAGUUCAUAUAUUUAGUUUCAUAGAAUAUAAAUCUAGCAAAACAUAUACAGCAACAGUAAUCAAAUACUGUACAACACAACAUUUGUCGUCACUAGUUUCCAUCAACUGUAUAAACACUGCAUUUUGUUCCACAUACAAAAACAAAAGAAAAAUACAUCCAUACACUUAAAACAGAUGUGUUCAUUGGUAAUAACACAAAUGGCUGUCCAUGUUGGAGCACCUCCCAAGUACAAUCUAAAAUUCAAAUAUAUCUGGCACAUAUGAAACCUCUAAAUUACGUCAUACAUGUAGACUCAAACUCAUUGACUUUUCUAAUGUCUCUAUUCAGACCCUAGGUGAAGGAAUUUUUUGUUGUUGUUGUUGUUAGAGAUUUAAUUGGUGUCUUAAAGGAAUAGUUAAUCCAAAAAUGUCAAAAAUAUAUGUGUUGUCCUUUAUGGGGACUGGCUUCCCCUGGUUACUGUAUGCUAUCAUUAUAUGUAAAAGAGCAGCUUGAAUAUUCUUCAAAACCUCUCCUUUUAUGUUCCACAGAGUAAAAAAAAAAAAAAAGUCACACGAGGUCCAUAUUUAGGUGAACUAUUCCUUUAAAAUCUAAAUUGAUAUAAUGCCAAACAUUGUGCCAAUUUAAUUUGUGCUUUUCUCAACCAAAUUAAGCUUUAGCCAAUGGGAAAUGUCAAAUUACACAUACACAUGUUUAUAAAUAAUACAUACAAUA